rnacentral:rRNA from 1 species
UGGGGAAUUUUGCACAAUGGGGGAAACCCUGAUGCAGCGACGCCGCGUGAUUUAGAAGGCCUUCGGGUUGUAAAAAUCUUUUGUAUGGGAAGAAAAUGACAGUACCAUACGAAUAAGGACCGGCUAAUUACGUGCCAGCAGCCGCGGUAAUACGUAAGGUCCGAGCGUUGUCCGGAAUCAUUGGGCGUAAAGGGUACGUAGGCGGAUAAGCAAGUUAGAAGUGAAAUCCUAUAGCUCAACUAUAGUAAGCUUUUAAAACUGCUCAUCUUGAGGUAUGGAAGGGAAAGUGGAAUUCCUAGUGUAGCGGUGAAAUGCGCAGAUAUUAGGAGGAAUACCGGUGGCGAAGGCGACUUUCUGGCCAUAAACUGACGCUGAGGUACGAAAGCGGGGGUAGCAAACAGG